GCGUCAGUUGUUUAGUGGUAAAAUCCAUCGUUGCCAUCGAUGGGCCCCGCGUUCGAUUCGCGGCUGACGCA
rnacentral:tRNA from 1 species